rnacentral:rRNA from 1 species
GAUGAACGCUGGCGGCGUGCUUAACACAUGCAAGUCGAACGGUGAAGCAGAGCUUGCUCUGUGGAUCAGUGGCGAACGGGUGAGUAACACGUGAGCAACCUGCCCUGGACUCUGGGAUAAGCGCUGGAAACGGCGUCUAAUACUGGAUACGAGACGUGGCCGCAUGGUCGACGUUUGGAAAGAUUUUUUGGUUCAGGAUGGGCUCGCGGCCUAUCAGCUUGUUGGUGAGGUAAUGGCUCACCAAGGCGUCGACGGGUAGCCGGCCUGAGAGGGGGACCGGCCACACUGGGACUGAGACACGGCCCAGACUCCUACGGGAGGCAGCAGUGGGGAAUAUUGCGCAAUGGGCGAAAGCCUGAUGCAGCAACGCCGCGUGAGGGAUGACGGCCUUCGGGUUGUAAACCUCUUUUAGCAAGGAAGAAGCGAAAGUGACGGUACUUGCAGAAAAAGCGCCGGCUAACUACGUGCCAGCCGCCGCCGUAACAC